GACGAACGCUGGCGGCGUGCUUAACGCAUGCAAGUCGAACGGUCUAUGAGAGCUUGCUCUCAUAGGUAGUGGCGAACGGGUGCGUAACACGUGAGCAACCUGCCCCGAAGUUUGGAAUAACACCGGGAAACCGAUGCUAAUACCAGAUAUGCUCACACCAUCAAAAGAUGGAGUGAGAAAAGUUUUCGCUUCGGGAGGGCUCGCGGCCUAUCAGCUUGUUGGUGAGGUAACGGCUCACCAAGGCUUCGACGGGUAGCUAGGUCUGAGAGGACGAUCAGCCACACUGGGACUGAGACACGG
rnacentral:rRNA from 1 species